rnacentral:rRNA from 1 species
CGACCUGACAUCAAGGGGGAUUACCCGCCGAAUUUAAGCAUAUUAAUAAGCGGAGGAAAAGAAAACAACUGUGAUUCCCUUAGUAAUGGCGAAUGAAACGGGAAAAGCCCAGCGCCGAACUGCUGGCCAUCUCGGUCAUGCGGAAUGUGGCGUUUAGAAGGGUCUCUUCCAAGGCAUCAGACACCAGUCAAAGUUCAACUUGACAGUGGCCACAGCCCAUAGAGGGUGAUAGGCCCGUAAGGCGGUUGUCUGGCUUUGCUGACCUCUUCUCAGAGUCGGGUAGCUUGUGAGUGCUGCCCAAAGUGCGAGGUAAACUCCUCGUAAGGCUAAAUACAACCCCAAUACCGAUAGCAAACAAGUACAGUGAUGGAAAUUUGAAAAGAACUUUGAAGAGAGAGUUAAUAGUACGUGAAACUGUAUGGUAGUAAACGCAGCCUUCCUCGAAGUUCUUCACGUGGAUCCAGCCUAAGUGUCGGGCGGCGCCAUGCGGCAGUUAACCGAGCAGCAAUGCCGGCUGCUGUGUGUUCUUGCUGUUGGCACGCGGGUGCAUCUCCAUGUGUUGUUACUGUAGGAACCGUUGGGACUGGACCAAAGGCCUGGUGCAAAGUUUCGGCUGGCUGUCGUGGCCGGCUGAAGUGCUGCCGGUGUCCUGGCUUCGGACCGACGGGCAGUCAUGCCCGACUUGUAUAGCAAGCAGCCUGCUGUGCGGUCGGGCAUCCCAC